UACGUAGGGUGCAAGCGUUAAUCGGAAUUACUGGGCGUAAAGCGUGCGCAGGCGGUUUUGUAAGUCUGACGUGAAAUCCCCGGGCUCAACCUGGGAAUUGCGUUGGAGACUGCAAAGCUAGAAUCUGGCAGAGGGGGGUAGAAUUCCACGUGUAGCAGUGAAAUGCGUAGAGAUGUGGAGGAACACCGAUGGCGAAGGCAGCCCCCUGGGUCAAGAUUGACGCUCAUGCACGAAAGCGUGGGGAGCAAACAGG
rnacentral:rRNA from 1 species